UGGACCGAUGAUGAUGACUGGUGGCGUUUGACUCAUGGAUGAUAAAUUCUAUGUGUCUGAAACUCUGAGGUCCCA